GCCGGUGUGGCGGAACUGGCAGACGCGACGGACUCAAAAUCCGUUGCCCGCAAGGGCGUGUGGGUUCGAUCCCCUCCACCGGCA
rnacentral:tRNA from 1 species